rnacentral:rRNA from 1 species
UAAGUAAGCGGUGGAUAAGAAACUAAACAGGAUUCCCUCAGUAAUGGCGAAUGAACAGGGAUGAGCUCAGCAUUGAAAUUUGGGCCCUCGGCCUUGAAUUGUAAUCUCGAGAAGCGCAACCAACGGAGGCGCAGGUGUAAGCCUCUUGGAAAAGAGCACCAGCGAGGGUGAGAGUCCCGUUCGUCACUUGCAGUCCUCCGUGUACGGUGUGCUUUCAAAGAGUCACGUUCCUCGGGCUUGGAGCGCAAAAGGUGGUAAAUUUCAUCUAAAGCUAAAUAUAGGUUUGAGACCGAUAGCAAACAAGUACCAUGAGGGAAAGAUGAAAAGGACUUUGGAAAGAGAGUUAAAAGUGCCUGAAAUUGCUGAAAGGGAAGCGAAUGGAACCAGUGUUUCUUGGCGAGAUUGUUAUGCGCUAAGCUGAUAGUCGGUUUCCUCAGCGCAAGCGUGGUUUCUGGCUUUGAAGCGGACGCGUGUGGUGUUUCUUGCCUUGCUUGUCAACGUCAAUUUGGAGUUGAGGAAAACUCGAGGGACCUGGUAAGUUGCUCACGGGUGACUGAAUGUGCCUUGUAGAACUCAUCUCUAGAUUGAAGACCUCGUGUCUGGUUGCAAUGCCCCUCUUGUGGUUUGUUGCCCUGGGAAAUUCAGCAGGUGCACUGCCUCGUUGCUGGGUGCAUUCCUUGACGCGAAGAUGGUGACAAAAUGGUUUCACUCGACCCGUCUU